rnacentral:lncRNA from 1 species
AGAUGAACUACCACAAGACAGUGUGCUUAUGGGGGACCAAACACGUUAAAAUACAGUUGAUGGAUCUGGAGCUCUGACUGCUGCCCAGCAAUGGCUCAGCAUGGACUGCUCUCAUCCUGGCUGCUCUUCAACAGUACUUUGAGCUGCAUGAAGACCUAAGAACCAAGCCAACAGCAAGAGCAUCACCAAGAAUCUGAGAAUCAAGCCCGCACCAAGAGCGUGGCCAAGUGUUUACUCCUCUUCCAGACCAUACCUGAAACAUGGCGUGAAGUUUCAUUCUGUUCUACUGCAGCCAAUUUCCAGCAAGAUCUUGUUGCCCAGAUCCUGCCAACAACCAGGGAACAAGCUCAAGCCAGCAGAGAAAACGAACGACCAGAAGUACCAGGAUUGUGCCAUCCUAUCCUCUGCUGUCAGGCUGGGGUCCCAACUGCCAUUUGGAGAAGCAACUUCCAUGGAAAUGUGAACAGAAUAUGA